rfam:Lactobacillus iners DSM 13335 genomic scaffold SCAFFOLD5, whole genome shotgun sequence.
UCGAAAUCAAAAAAAUAAACUUAUAUAUUGUCAUAAUAAGGUUGAUAGUUUCUACCCAAAACCGUAAAUUUUGGACUAUAGGUUUUAAGCUAAUAUUC